AUGAGCGGUGCCCCCGGCGGGCCCCGGCCGAGGACCCCGCCGAGCCGCGGAGCCGCGGGCGCCCCGUCGCCCCGGCCGCCCCCCGCCGACCCGCUGCGCCAGGCCAGCCGGCUGCCCAUCCGCGUCCUGAAGAUGCUCAGCGCCCACAGCGGCCACCUCCUGCACCCCGAAUACCUCCAGCCGCUCUCCUCCACGCCCGUCAGCCCCAUCGAGCUGGACGCCAAGAAGAGCCCUCUGGCGCUGCUGGCCCAGACCUGCUCGCAGAUCGGCAAACCCGACCCUCCGCCCUCCUCCAAGCUGAACGCCGUCGCCUCCGCCGGGCUGCCCGCCGCCGACAAGGAGCCCUCCGCCCGCCCCGCCGCGCUCAAACCGCCGGGCGGCAGCGGGGACGCUCCGCCCGAGGACAAGUCCAGCUUCAAGCCCUACUCCAAGGGCGGGGAGCCGCGCAAGGAGGGCCCGGACAAGGCCGGCUUCCGCGUGCCCAGCGCCGCCUGCCCGCCGUUCCCCCCGCACAGCGCCGCAUCCCCGGGCGGCUCCCGCGGCGCGUCCCCGCAGCACGCCGAGCCCAAGGGCGCCGACGACAAGAAGGAGCCCGAGGCGGGCAAGCCCGGCCCCGACGGGGCGAGCGGGGCUUUGGGGCGCGGGGCGGCGGCGGAGUCCGGGGCGCACGGCGAACCCCCCUCAUCGGGCCGCAAAUCGGAGCCCCCAGCGCUGCCGCCCGCCGCCGGCCAUGUGGCCCCCGUGUCUCCUUACAAGCCGGGCCACUCCGUCUUCCCGCUGCCGCCUUCCAGCAUCGGUUACCACGGCUCCAUCGUGGGCGCCUACGCCGGGUACCCCUCGCAGUUCGUGCCCGGGUUGGACCCCAGCAAAGCGGGGCUGGUUGGCAGCCAGCUGCCCGGGGCGCUGGGGCUGCCGGGGAAGCCGCCCAGCUCCAGCCCGCUGACCGGGGCCUCGCCGCCCUCCUUCAUGCAGGGAUUAUGCCGGGACCCGUACUGCCUGAGCUACCACAGCGCCUCGCACCUGGGCUCCGGCAACUGCUCCAGCUGCGUGCACGACGCCGGCAGCCUGAAGAGCGGAUACCCCCUGGUGUACCCCGCGCACCCCCUGCAUUCGGUGCACACCACGCUCUCCUCCGGCGGCACCCCCAGCCUGCCCGGCCACCCCCUCUACACCUACGGCUUCAUGCUGCAGAACGACCCCCUGCCCCACAUAUGCAAUUGGGUGUCUGCCAGCGGACCCUGCGAUAAGAGGUUUGCCACCUCGGAGGAGCUGCUCACCCACCUACGGACCCACACGGCGCUGCCGGGCGCGGAGAAACUCUUGGCCGGUUAUCCCACGUCUGGGUUGGGUUCGGCCGCUUCCUGCCACCUCCACCUCCCGCCCGCCGCCCCCGGCAGCCCCAGCACGUUACCGGCCUCCCUGUCCUUGAGGAGCCCACACACUUUGGGACUCAACAGGUAUCACCCGUACGGCAAGAGCCAUUUGCCCGCAGCCGGAGCUCUCCCCGUGCCGUCGUUGCCGGCUGCCGGACCUUACUACUCCCCCUACGCUCUCUAUGGCCAAAGACUGACUUCAGCUUCUGCACUGGGAUAUCAGUAACCACGGCGGCCACUUCCCCUCGCCGAGCCCCCUCCCCCCUUCCCUCCCGAUCCUCCCCCUCGGCUCCCUCCUUGGAACUGUGUAUUUAUUUACUGUAUGUUAGCUUAAAGCUGGGAAUAUAAGUGCAUUAAUACACCAAUGAAUCGAUGGUAUGCAAAAAAGUCUGUGUCCAAAAAAGAAAAAAAGAAAAAAAAAAAAAAAAAAAGAAAGAAAAGAAAAAAAAAAGAAAAAAUCUUUUCUUUGCAGGUGUGGGGCUUUGGUUUUUUUUUUCGUUGUUGGUUUGUUUUUUUUUCCCCUGUUAUUUCUUUUAAUUGAUUUUUUUUUUUUUUUUCCUUCCCCCCCCUUCUUCGUUUUCCCCCUGAGAAAUUCUUGCAUGACUCCCAACGCAUACAGGAACAAAAAGACAAAAAAAAAAAUUCAACCACGUUUCUUCCUCCUCCUCCUCCUCUUCCUCCCCCCCACCUCAUUUAUCGUUCUGGGAUUCAGUUUCUCUUCCUCUGUGAAGUUAACAGACGUCCAUUUUUUAAUUAUUAUUGUUCUGAUUUUUUUUUUUUUAUUUUUUAUUUUUUUGCCAAUGCGUUUUGGGGCUGCGGAUGGAGCGGCCCCCGCCCCGCGGCUCUCGCCCGGCCCUUCCGCGGGGACGAAUCCCAUUUUCUCCCCCUUAUCCUUUCUCCUCCUCCUCCUCCUCCCCUCGGGGCUGCGGGCUUCCACCCCGACGGCGGCGGCGGCCCCACGGACGGAACGGCGGCGGUGGCGGCGGCGGGCGCGGGGCCGCCCGGCCGGGAGGGCUGCGAGCAUUGCGGGUGACUUAAGAGCUGCGGCUUGCUAAACGCUCGCUGGAGGACGCUGGGGGAGACGCUGGGCUGACAGCUUCGUUUACAGAGUGUAUUCCUUCAGCUCCAUUCGCAAUAACAAACAGAUUUCCACAGACCAUAAUGUUUUCCAAUGCGGUGUUUAUGGAAGCCGUGUGCCAUGACUUCACUCCAUGGUGUUGCGAUGGGGGAAGGCAGCCUCGGUGUGGAUGGACAGAUGUGGCCGUGGGCACCCAGGGAACCCAACCGACUCGAUGCUGUGUGUUUGCAGCCCCAGCACCUCCAUGGAGCCCUCCUGGACCCCCACCCAGCACUGCACUGCAGGGAGGUGCCGGAGCACAGCAAAGAGGAGAGGGGGACGAAGACGUUUUGGGAUGCUUUCUGGAUGAGUUUCAGCCUUCUCUGUUGCUCCUCUCCUUUGGGAAGAGAAGAAAGGAGAUGGGAGUGUGUGAGAUUUGCUGUGCUGUUCCUUCCUGGCGUGUUUGCUCGCUGCGAGCCAGAGCUGCUGUGCUCCUCUCCUGCCUUCCCUGAGCAGAGCAUGGGGACAGGACCCUGUCUGGCACCAACACGUGAGGACACUCAGCCGUCCCAUGUCCUUGUGCUGGGAUGGGGCUGAUGCCUGCAGAGCUGGCUGCGAACCCAGCACCUGGGAGCUCCGCUGGGCAGCUCUCCUGCAGAAGUGACGAAUUGUUUCUGCCGGAGCAAUUGUUACCUCCACGGGGUUUCUGUUCCAGCUCAACACAGCCCCAGUGACGUCCGUGGGUGCGGAGGAACAGCAGCCAGGCCUGACUUCCAAGGUGGAACAAGUCGUUUUGUGUGGAAAAUGUCUCUGACAUGAAGCGCAGCGCUUGCUCCGAGGCGCUGAGACGCAGGCAUGGAGCUGCCUGGUGUUGGUGAGAAAAUGAUCGCUCAGCCCAGCCCGACAACAAAACCUCUCAAUGCACCGGGGUGGGGUGGGAGCAGGAAUGGAGCACCAAGGAAUGGAGCUGAGAAAAGACCUCUGUGCCCACCGGUGUUUGUGCUCAUUUCCCAGACUGUGGCUGAAUUUCAGAUUUGGAAUGACUGCUCGGGCAGCAGCAGCAGCUCCUCCAGCUGCAGGAACGCGUCGGGCCCUCUGUGGCUGUGUUAUGGCUCCCAAACCUGUGCAGCGUGGGCACGGAGCAGCCCUGCUGUAUGCCUGGAGAGCAAGGAGCAAACGUGGGCUGGGUUCAGCAGCACUUUUCCUGGGAAGAGCUACGAGAAGAGCUCAGGGUUCCCAGGAGCCCCAGCAUCACGUUGCUUCACCCUCUGCAGGAGGAAAGCUCGCAGCCCUUCGUGCUAUGGGGGAAGAUCCCGUAGCACUUGGACCCAGUGUGUUAUUUCUGGGCUCUGACUCACGCUGCUGGAACGAUUCGAGGUUUGCAUGCAGCGAGCAUUGCUCUCACAGGGGGUGUGGAGAGAGCUGGGGGGAUGGAGCCCGCGGUUGAUUUACGAGGGGUGCUCAGUUUGUAGGGAUGCUCAGAGCCGCAGUGCAGCAGGAAGGGGUUCAGGAGCCCCCAGGUUUGCAGCUCACAUCUCACUCUGCUGCCCUUCCAUUGCACCCGGUGCAGUGCAGUGAUAUGUCAGAGGGGCAGAGGCGCAGGGAGCUCAGCCCUACGGGUGCCAUCAGCAUCUUGCAUCCCAGCCGGGGGUCCCGUGCUCACCCCUCUCCCCUGCCCGCCGUGCUUUUAUCUCUUCUGUAGGUACCAAUGGAGCCGUCAGCCCGUGGUAUGACAGGUUGCGGGAGCCGGGGCCCCUCGAACAGAGCAGCCUUGUCUGUCAGAGCCGCCUGACACUCCCCAUAAUGGCCAGAUGGAUGAGACUCUGAAAGUAGGACCCGGCGCGUUUUCAACUCUAUUUUGGGUGAAAACACUUCUUGAAAGAUCUUGAAAGGAGCUGGCAGUUGAGGAGUUCCAAUGAUUAAUGAGUGCUGGCUCUGCUGGGCGGGUUGC